GUAGGUGGCAAGCGUUGUCCGGAAUUAUUGGGCGUAAAGCGCGCGCAGGUGGUUCUUUAAGUCUGAUGUGAAAGCCCCCGGCUCAACCGGGGAGGGUCAUUGGAAACUGGGGAACUUGAGUGCAGGAGAGGAAAGUGGAAUUCCACGUGUAGCGGUGAAAUGCGUAGAUAUGUGGAGGAACACCAGUGGCGAAGGCGACUUUCUGGCCUGUAACUGACACUGAGGCGCGAAAGCGUGGGGAGCAAACAGGGAUUAGAUACCCUGGUAGUCCACGCCGUAAACGAUGAGUGCUAAGUGUUGGGGGGGUUUCCCGCCCCCCUCAGGUGCUGCAGCUAACGCAUUAAGCACUCCGCCUGGGGAGUACGGUCGCAAGACUG
rnacentral:rRNA from 1 species